rnacentral:rRNA from 1 species
UACGUAGGGCGCAAGCGUUAUCCGGAAUUAUUGGGCGUAAAGAGCUCGUAGGCGGUUUGUCGCGUCUGCCGUGAAAGUCCGGGGCUCAACUCCGGAUCUGCGGUGGGUACGGGCAGACUAGAGUGAUGUAGGGGAGACUGGAAUUCCUGGUGUAGCGGUGAAAUGCGCAGAUAUCAGGAGGAACACCGAUGGCGAAGGCAGGUCUGUGGGCCGAUACUGACGCUGAGGAGCGAAAGCGUGGGGAGCGAACAGG